UAAGACGAACCGUCCAAACGUUAUUCGGAAUUACUGGGCUUAAAGGGUGCGUAGGCGGCUUCGCAAGUUGGGUGUGAAAUCCCUCGGCUCAACCGAGGAAUGGCGCCCAAAACUGCGGAGCUCGAGGGAGACAGAGGUGAGUGGAACUUGUGGUGGAGCGGUGAAAUGCGUUGAUAUCACAAGGAACACCGGUGGCGAAAGCGGCUCACUGGGUCUUUUCUGACGCUGAGGCACGAAAGCUGGGGGAGCGAACGGG
rnacentral:rRNA from 1 species